rnacentral:rRNA from 1 species
AAUGCAGUGCCCGAACAGGGCGUUGUAAUUGGAAUGAGAACAAUUUAAAUCCCUUAUCGAUUAACAAUUAGAGGGCAAGUCUGGUGCCAGCAGCCGCGGUAAUUCCAGCUCUAAUAGCGUAUAUUAAAGUUGUUGCAGUUAAAAAGCUCGUAGUUGGAUUUCGGCGUGCGCUCGGGCUGGUCGGCCGUCAAGGUAUGUACCGUUUGGGUCACGCCCCACUGUAGGAUACUCACCGCUGUCCUUAACUGGGUGGCGGUCAAAGGGGGUGUGCAUGGGGGCAACUCUGUGCAUAUCUCUGGGGUUCCUACUCUUUUACUUUGAGCAAAUUAGAGUGUUCAAAGCAGGCAAUCGAGCCUUGAAUACUUCAGCAUGGGAUAAUGGAACAGGACUGGGGUCCUGAUUUCGUUGGUUUCUGGGAUCUCAGUAAUGAUUAAUAGGGAUAGUUGGGGGCAUUAGUAUUUAAUUGUCAGAGGUGGAAUUCUUGGAUUUAUGAAAGACUAACUUCUGCGAAAGCAUUUGCCAAGGAUGUUUUCAUUAAUCAAGAACGAAAGUUGGGGGAUCGAAGACGAUCAGAUACCGUCGUAGUCUUAACCAUAAACGAUGCCGACCAGCGAUUGGGAGACGUUACAUGGAUGACUCCCCCAGCAGCUUGCGAGAAAUCACAAGUCUUUGGGUUCCGGGGGGAGUAUGGUCGCAAGGCUGAAACUUAAAGGAAUUGACGGAAGGGCACCACCAGGAGUGGAGCCUGCGGCUUAAUUUGACCCAACACGGGGAAACUUACCAGGUCCAGACAUAGUAAGGAUUGACAGAUUUGAGAGCCCUUUCUUGAUUCUAUGGGUGGUGGUGCAUGGCCGUUCUUGGUUGGUGGAGUGAUUUGUCUGGUUAAUUCCGUUAACGAACGAGACCUUAACCUGCUAAAUAUGUCACUGGUAGACUUCUGCCAAAACAGGUGGGUGUCUAGGGGAAAGUUUCGAUGGACUCCGACGCAUUCAUCUGUGGAUGACUACCAGGAUGUACUUCUUAGAGGGACUAUCUGUAUCAAAGCAGAUGGAAGUUUGAGGCAAUAACAGGUCUGUGAUGCCCUUAGAUGUUCUGGGCCGCACGCGCGCUACACUGACAAGUUCAACGAGUUUAACACCUUGCUCGAUAGGGCUGGGUAAUCUUUGAAAAACUUGUCGUGAUGGGGAUAGAUCAUUGUAAUUAUUGGUCUUCAACGAGGAAUUCCUAGUAAGCGUGAGUCAUCAGCUCGCGUUGAUUACGUCCCUGCCCUUUGUACACACCGCCCGUCGCUCCUACCGAUUGAAUGAUCCGGUGAAAUGUUGGGAGCUGGGGUCUUUUGGCGGCGGGGCAACUCGUCGUCAGGGAUUCUGCAAACUUCAUUAAACCUU